AUGACCCCCUUCCUGCGGACACAAUCCUCGAUUCCCCGAUUCCACGGGCCUGCGCGGAUUACCCUCGUUCCACGACGGAGCCGCGCACCGCUUUCUCGAUUCGCGGCAGUCUCCGCGGGCACCGAUAGCCCAUUCUUCGCUCCGGAAGGUUCCCUAACUUCGUGGUCCGUGGUUCGAUACCCCUACGAGAGGGUUUUUUGGGUACGUGUGACGGAGUUAAUGCUACCGGAGCUCGGUGGUUACUAAGUUUUUGACGCUCGACAGAGGGCAAAUUCAGAUCAGGAGCCUGGUGGUUCGGAGACUGUCGGAAAGGGCUAUUGUGAUUUGAGGUUUUGCGGUUGCAAUGCGAAGAUUGGUUUGGAAGUGUUGUCUUGACUGUUGGUGCGGCGAAUGAGGAGUGGUUCUUGUUCGAAAGGAUAAGCAACAAUGUUAAGUCAGCCGUCAUUAGCGUGACGCAUGGUGAAAUUUUGUCUGUUCUUCUUGAGAACUACUCUUUAACAACUGUAGAAAGGAAUUAAGUGUGAAAACCAAGGACCUCAAAGGUCACAAAAGGUAAGCAAUACUCAUGAUACACCGAGUUUAUUAUACAAAUAUGUUUCAAUAAAACAAACCAUGUUUUGUUUAGGAAAAAGAAAUGAGAAU
rnacentral:lncRNA from 1 species